UACAGAGGUGGCAAGCGUUGUUCGGAAUUACUGGGCGUAAAGGGCGCGUAGGCGGCCUUCUAAGUCAGACGUGAAAUCCCCAGGCUUAACUUGGGAACUGCGUCUGAUACUGGGAGGCUUGAGUGCGGGAGAGGGAUGUGGAAUUCCAGGUGUAGCGGUGAAAUGCGUAGAUAUCUGGAGGAACACCGGUGGCGAAGGCGGCCCACUGGAUCGGUACUGACGCUGAGGUGCGAAAGCGUGGGGAGCGAACGGG
rnacentral:rRNA from 1 species